rnacentral:rRNA from 1 species
UACGAAGGGGGCUAGCGUUGCUCGGAAUGACUGGGCGUAAAGGGCGCGUAGGCGGUCUGCUUAGUCAGGCGUGAAAUUCCCGGGCUCAACCUGGGGGCUGCGCUUGAGACUGGCGGGCUGGAGUGCGGAAGAGGGUCGUGGAAUUCCCAGUGUAGAGGUGAAAUUCGUAGAUAUUGGGAAGAACACCGGUGGCGAAGGCGGCGACCUGGUCCGUGACUGACGCUGAGGCGCGAAAGCGUGGGGAG